GUCGUUGUAGUGUAGUGGUGAGUGUUCCCGCCUGUCAAGCGGGUGACCCGGGUUCGAUCCCCGGAAACGGCG
rfam:Oryza nivara chromosome 5, whole genome shotgun sequence.